rnacentral:rRNA from 1 species
AUUGAACGCUGGCGGCAUGCUUUACACAUGCAAGUCGAACGGUAACAGGCCGCAAGGUGCUGACGAGUGGCGAACGGGUGAGUAAUGCAUCGGAACGAGCCCAGUCGUGGGGGAUAACGCAGCGAAAGCUGCGCUAAUACCGCAUACGAUCUAUGGAUGAAAGCGGGGGACGGUAAGGCCUCGCGCGAGUGGAGCGGCCGAUGUCAGAUUAGGUAGUGGGAGGGGUAAAGGCUCACCAGACCAACGAUCUGUAGCUGGUCUGAGAGGACGACCAGCCACACUGGGACUGAGACACGGCCCAGACUCCUCCGGGAGGCAGCAGUGGGGAAUUUUGGACAAUGGGCGCAAGCCUGAUCCAGCAAUGCCGCGUGCAGGAAGAAGGCCUUCGGGUUGUAAACUGCUUUUGUACGGAACGAAACGGUCCUGGUUAAUACCUGGGGCUAAUGACGGUACCGUAGGAAUAAGCACCGGCUAACUACGUGCCAGCCGCCGCCGUAACAC